UACGUAGGGUGCGAGCGUUGUCCGGAAUUAUUGGGCGUAAAGAGCUCGUAGGCGGUCUGUCGCGUCGGCUGUGAAAACUCGGGGCUCAACCCCGAGCCUGCAGUGGGUACGGGCAGACUAGAGUGCGGUAGGGGUGACUGGAAUUCCUGGUGUAGCGGUGGAAUGCGCAGAUAUCAGGAGGAACACCGAUGGCGAAGGCAGGUCACUGGGCCGCAACUGACGCUGGAGGAG
rnacentral:rRNA from 1 species